rnacentral:rRNA from 1 species
CCUACGGGUGGCAGCAGUGGGGAAUAUUGGGCAAUGGGCGCAAGCCUGACCCAGCAACGCCGCGUGAAGGAAGAAGGCUUUCGGGUUGUAAACUUCUUUUAAGAGGGAAGAGCAGAAGACGGUACCUCUUGAAUAAGCCACGGCUAACUACGUGCCAGCAGCCGCGGUAAUACGUAGGUGGCAAGCGUUGUCCGGAUUUACUGGGUGUAAAGGGCGUGCAGCCGGGAAGACAAGUCAGAUGUGAAAGCCCGCGGCUCAACCGCGGAACUGCAUUUGAAACUGUUUUUCUUGAGUACAGGAGAGGUCAGCGGAAUUCCUUGUGUAGCGGUGAAAUGCGUAGAUAUAAGGAAGAACACCAGUGGCGAAGGCGGAUGACUGGACGGCAACUGACGGUGAGGCGCGAAAGCGUGGGGAUCAAACAGGAUUAGAUACCCCAGUAGUC